GACGUAGGGCGCGAGCGUUGUCCGGAUUUAUUGGGCGUAAAGAGCUCGUAGGCGGUUUGUCGCGUCGACUGUGAAAACCCGUGGCUUAACUGCGGGCCUGCAGUCGAUACGGGCAGGCUAGAGUUCGGUAGGGGAGACUGGAAUUCCUGGUGUAGCGGUGAAAUGCGCAGAUAUCAGGAGGAACACCGGUGGCGAAGGCGGGUCUCUGGGCCGAUACUGACGCUGAGGAGCGAAAGCGUGGGGAGCGAACAGGAUUAGAAACCCCCGUAGUCC
rnacentral:rRNA from 1 species